rnacentral:rRNA from 1 species
CCCGCGGCGCAUUAGCUAGUUGGUGAGGUAACGGCUCACCAAGGCGACGAUGCGUAGCCGACCUGAGAGGGUGAUCGGCCACACUGGGACUGAGACACGGCCCAGACCCUACGGGAGGCAGCAGUAGGGAAUCUUCCGCAAUGGACGAAAGUCUGACGGAGAACGCCGCGUGAGUGAUGAAGGUUUUCGGAUCGUAAAACUCUGUUGUUAGGGAAGAACAAGUACCGUUCGAAUAGGGCGGUACCUUGACGGUACCUAACCAGAAAGCCACGGCUAACUACGUGCCAGCAGCCGCGGUAAUACGUAGGUGGCAAGCGUUGUCCGGAAUUAUUGGGCGUAAAGCGCGCGCAGGCGGUUUCUUAAGUCUGAUGUGAAAGCCCCCGGCUCAACCGGGGAGGGUCAUUGGAAACUGGGGAACUUGAGUGCAGAAGAGGAGAGUGGAAUUCCACGUGUAGCGGUGAAAUGCGUAGAGAUGUGGAGGAACACCAGUGGCGAAGGCGACUCUCUGGUCUGUAACUGACGCUGAGGCGCGAAAGCGUGGGGAGCGAACAGGAUUAGAUACCCUGGUAGUCCACGCCGUAAACGAUGAGUGCUAAGUGUUAGAGGGUUUCCGCCCUUUAGUGCUGCAGCAAACGCAUUAAGCACUCCGCCUGGGGAGUACGGUCGCAAGACUGAAACUCAAAGGAAUUGACGGGGGCCCGCACAAGCGGUGGAGCAUGUGGUUUAAUUCGAAGCAACGCGAAGAACCUUACCAGGUCUUGACAUCCUCUGACAACCCUAGAGAUAGGGCUUCCCCUUCGGGGGCAGAGUGACAGGUGGUGCAUGGUUGUCGUCAGCUCGUGUCGUGAGAUGUUGGGUUAAGUCCCGCAACGAGCGCAACCCUUGAUCUUAGUUGCCAGCAUUCAGUUGGGCACUCUAAGGUGACUGCCGGUGACAAACCGGAGGAAGGUGGGGAUGACGUCAAAUCAUCAUGCCCCUUAUGACCUGGGCUACACACGUGCUACAAUGGGCAGAACAAAGGGCAGCG